CAGGAUAUAGCUCAGUUGGUAGGGUACUUGCUUUGGAUGCAGAAGGCCCUGGGUUCAAUUCCCAGCAUCAUCA
rnacentral:tRNA from 1 species